AAUCGAACCCGGAGAUAGCUGGUUCUCCCCGAAAUAGCUUUAGGGCUAGCGUCGAGAGAAGAGUUGCGUGAAGGUAGAGCACUGAAUAUGUGAUGGCCCCAUCUCGGGGUACUGAGCAUAAUCAAACUGCGAAUGUCACGCCAACAUGCUCGGCAGUCAGACAGCGGGUGAUAAGGUCCGUUGUCAAGAGGGAAACAGCCCAGACCAUCAGCUAAGGUCCCAAAAUGUAUGCUAAGUGGAAAAGGAUGUGGAGAUGUACAGACAACUAGGAGGUUGGCUCAGAAGCAGCCAUCCUUUAAAGAGUGCGUAACAGCUCACUAGUCGAAUGACUCUGCGCCGAUAAUUUACCGGGGCUAAGCAUACUACCGAAGCUAUGGAUCCCAAGGGAUGGUAGGGGAGCGUUCCAUGAACGGAGAAGUACGACCGAAAGGACGUGUGGAGAUCAUGGAAGAGAGAAUGCCGGUGUGAGUAGCGGAACGUGGGUGAGAAUCCCACGCACCGAAAACCCAAGGUUUCCAGAGGAAGGUUCGUCCGCUCUGGGUAAGUCGGGACCUAAGGCGAGGCCGAAAGGCGUAGUCGAUGGACAACAGGUAGAGAUUCCUGUACCCGUAUAUAUGUGAAGGAAUGACGGAGAGAGGAAGCUGCAGCCAGCGGCUGGAAGAGCUGGUGCAAGCGAGAUAUCGGGAUGGCAGGCAAAUCCACCAUCCGAAACGAGAAGGCGUGAAGCGUACGGAAAGCUACGGCGAGUACGGAAGGCAGUGGAGGAACUUCCAAGAAAAGUUUCUAACGUUAAGUAUAUAUGGCCCGUACCGAAAAUGGACACACAUGGGUGAGGAGAGAAUCCUAAGGUGAGCGAGAGAACUAUAGCUAAGGAACUCUGCAAAAUGACUCCGUAACUUAGGGAGAAGGAGUGCUCAUAGAGAUAUGAGCCGCAGUGAAACGGCCCAAGCGACUGUUUACCAAAAACACAGCUCUCUGCUAAGCCGCAAGGCGAAGUAUAGGGGGUGACGCCUGCCCGGUGCUGGAAGGUUAAGGGGAGGGGUUAACGCAAGUGAAGCCCUGAACUGAAGCCCCAGUAAACGGCGGCCGUAACUAUAACGGUCCUAAGGUAGCGAAAUUCCUUGUCAGGUAAGUUCUGACCCGCACGAAAGGCGUAACGAUUUGGGCGCUGUCUCAGCUGUAGACUCGGUGAAGUCUUAGUACCUGUGAAGAUGCAGGUUACCCGCGACUAGACGGAAAGACCCCAUGGAGCUUCACUGCAGGUUGAUAUUGGGAUUUGAUGCAGCAUGUACAGGAUAGGUAGGAGGCAAAGAGAUGGAUACGCCAGUAUUCAAGGAGCCGCUGUUGGGAUACUACCCCUGUUGUAUUGGAUUUCUAACCGGACGACGUAGAGCCGUUGACGGGACAGUGUCAGUCGGGCAGUUUGACUGGGGCGGUCGCCUCCCAAAGAGUAACGGAGGCGCCCAAAGAUACCCUCAGCUUGGAUGGAAACCAAGCGCAGAGUGCAAAGGCAAAAGGGUGUUUGACUGCGAGACCUACAAGUCGAGCAGGGACGAAAGUCGGGCUUAGUGAUCCGGCGGUGCUGAAUGGAAAGGCCGUCGCUCAACGGAUAAAAGCUACCCUGGGGAUAACAGGCUGAUCUCCCCCAAGAGUUCACAUCGACGGGGAGGUUUGGCACCUCGAUGUCGGCUCAUCGCAUCCUGGAGCUGAAGUCGGUUCCAAGGGUUGGGCUGUUCGCCCAUUAAAGCGGUACGCGAGCUGGGUUCAGAACGUCGUGAGACAGUUCGGUCCCUAUCUGUCGUGGGCGCAGGAAAUUUGAGAAGAGCUGUCCUCAGUACGAGAGGACCGGGAUGGACGCAUCAAUGGUGGACCAGUUGUCACGCCAGUGGCAUAGCUGGGUAGCUAAAUGCGGAAGGGAUAAACGCUGAAGGCAUCUAAGUGUGAAACCCACUUCAAGAUGAGAUUUCCCAUUGCGCAAGCAAGUAAGACCCCUUAAAGACGAUAAGGUAGAUAGGUCAGGAGUGUAAGCAUGGUGACAUGUUAAGCGGACUGAUACUAAUAGGUCGAGGGCUUGACCG
rnacentral:rRNA from 1 species